rnacentral:tRNA from 1 species
CCAGAUAGCUCAGUCGGUAGAGCAGAGGACUGAAAAUCCUUGUGUCGGUGGUUCGAUUCCACCUCUGGCC